CUUAGGCUGUUGCGAGUUGUAGCGUAUAGGUGUAGCUUUGCAGUCAUUUCGUCAGAUCGAAUUCCCUUUGAAUAGGGACUUGCCAAAGAGGGUGCUAGACCCGUUCGAUCGAUGUUGUGGCUGCAUUCGUUGCUCCUUGGAGUCGGGUUGCUUGAAAGUGCAGCCUAAAGUGGGUGAUAAACUUCAUCUAAGGCUAAAUAUUGAAGGGAAUUCGAUAGCAAACAAGUACCGUGAGGGAAAGUUGCAAAGAACUUUGAAGAGAGAGUUCAAGAGAACGUGAAAUCGUUAAAGUGGAACCGGAGAGAGUUGACGAAGCAUCUGUGGUGAAGACUUUCGUUGUUGCUUUUAGUGAUUUCGUUUGUUGGAUCUGCUUUGGCUGCGUUGGUGGGGUUAUUGGUGUCAGUUGAAGCGUGUAGCGUUGCCCACUUCGGUGGUGUCUUGCUUGCGUGAAGACCGGUCACUGGUAGUCUUUAGCUUUGCU
rnacentral:rRNA from 1 species